rnacentral:rRNA from 1 species
GGAUCCUUAGUACGGCGAGUGAACCGGGAAAAGCUCAAAUUUGUAAUCUGGCUGUCUUCGAUAGUCCGAGUUGUAAUCUAUAGACGUGUUUUCCGUGCUGGACCGUAUCUAAGUCCCUUGGAACAGGGUAUCAAAGAGGGUGACAAUCCCGUGCUUGAUACGACCACCAGUGCUCUGUGAUACACGCUCUACGAGUCGAGUUGUUUGGGAAUGCAGCUCAAAAUGGGUGGUAAAUUCCAUCUAAAGCUAAAUAUUGGCGAGAGACCGAUAGCGAACAAGUACCGUGAGGGAAAGAUGAAAAGCACUUUGGAAAGAGAGUUAAACAGUACGUGAAAUUGUUGAAAGGGAAACGAUUGAAGUCAGUCGUGUUCUUUGGAUUCAGCUAGUUCUUCUAGUCUACUUCCUUUGAACGGGUCAACAUCAGUUUUGUCCGGUGGAUAAAGAUAGUAGGAAUGUAGCUCCCUCGGGAGUGUUAUAGACUAUUAUUGCAUGCACUGGGUGAGACUGAGGACUGCAGCUCGCCUUUUGGCCGGCCUUCGGGUACGUUCGAGCUUAGGAUGUUGACAUAAUGGCUUUAAACGACCCGUCUGA